GCCUAAGCGUGGGCAGCCGAACNGNAAGUGUCUUGUGAAUCCGGGAGCUCAACUCUGAAUUGCUCGGCAUACUCCCANUCUUGAGAUCGUAGAGGCAGUCGGAAUGUAGGUGUAGCGGUGAUAUGCGUAGAUAUCUACAGAACGCCGAAAGNGAANCCAGGCUGCUGGCCGAUUCUGACGCUCAGGCACGAAAGCGUGGGUAGCGAACGGGAUUAGAUACCCCGGUAGUCCACGCCCUAAACGAUGUGCACUGGAUCCAGGAGGUUUUGACGCCAUCUGGGUCGAAGGUAAACUCAUAAGUGCACCGCCUGGGGAGUACGGUCGCAAGGCUAAAACUCAAAGGAAUUGACGGGGGCUCACACAAGCGGUGGAGCAUGUUGCUUAAUUCGAUGCAACGCGAAGAACCUUAUCCUGGGUUUGACAUGCUUGGAUUAGUCGCUGGAAACAGCGGCGACGCUCUUUGAGUGGAACAAGCACAGGUGCUGCAUGGCUGUCGUCAGCUCGUGCUGUGAAGUGUCGGGUUAAGUCCCUUAACGAGCGAAACCCCUGCCGUUAGUUGCCAUCGGGUCAUGCCGGGGACUCUAGCGGGACUGCCGGUGUCAAACCGGAGGAAGGUGGGGACGACGUCAAGUCAUCAUGGCCUUUAUGCCCAGGGCUGCAAACGUGCUACAAUGGUGCGGACAGAGCGAAGCAAGACUGCAAAGUGGAGCAAAUCGCAAAAACCGCGCCCCAGUUCGGAUUGGGGUCUGCAACUCGACCCCAUGAAGGUGGAAUCGCUAGUAAUCGCGCAUCAGCUACGGCGCGGUGAAUAUGUUCCUGAGCCUUGUACACACCGCCCNUCAANNCAUGGAAGCCGGAAGCACCCGAAGUCGCAGCGANUNNNNNNNGNCGGUGAGUUCNUAACGGGAAUAAGUGAACAAGGACCAAGGAGAAUNUUG
rnacentral:rRNA from 1 species